UCUCACACUAACAUCCCGUUUUACCUCAGGGCCUCCUGAUCUAACAGAAAAAACUGUAGCUCCAUCCUUGCUCUGCUUUCCACAUGUUUCUCAUCAUCUCUGGAAGCUACCUCCCACAACACUGUGAUGUUAUAUAUAAUUUUUUUAGGCUAAAUGAACCCAAGUAAUCUGCUGUCAGUCUGAUUAUUGCAGCUGUAAAUGGUCCAGACUAACCCCGGGUUUCCACGGGAGCCGUCAGCAGCACGUUACUGCAGCAGCACGUCUAGCUGCUGCUUGGCCCUUCCCACGAGACGCGAAGCAGCAGGGGAGCAGCUGUCACCGACAGAGCACGAAGUCACACGAGUGACUUCGUCAGUAAACACAACAACAAGCAGGAGAAAUUUACAAUAUGGUUUGUGUUUUAUGUUCUGUCCGUUUUAUAAUCGCCAAUACGGACCUGAAAAACAAAGGAGACCGCUAGCUAGGUGAUAACUUCUCACGGGGACGCACAGUUAGUAACGUUUUUUAAAAGUAAAGCAACCGGAAGGCAGUACGUUCUUUAUUCUGAAAAUCUCGAGAGCUUCUCUCCAUUUCCGCGUCUGAUUUCCUGUCUUUCCUUCCCCAAAAAUGUCGAACUUGACCCGUUUCAGAGGCGUCGCGCGUAGAAAAUAGAACCGGCGCGUAAGGGCCGCGACAUGCUGCUCCUGAGACGCGGCCGACUCGCGCUGCUGACGGCUCCAGUGGAAAAGGUUCUGUUGACUACAGCGGUUCCUAUCAGCAGCUAUGACGUGCUGCUGCAGUAACGUGCUGCUGACGGUUCCUGUGGAAGGCCGGGGUGACAUGAAGCCUUGCAGGUGUAGUAAAAUAUAUCAGUAUAUAGCUUAUUGCUACACGUGUGUUGCUGCUGUGAGCUUGGAGCUAGAUUACAUCAUGAAGGAGACUACUGAUUCUGGUCCUGUGACACUUGGUGACGUGUGAACUGAUUUACCUGGACACUCAGCGAAAUAUGGACGCUACACCAUGAGGCAGGCACACGUCAGGAUUCUAUAAGAGCACAUGAGGUGAGCAACACCACAGAUUAUUAAUAUCAUUGUACACUGUCCUGGAUUUGUUUUCUUUCUGCAUCUCAUCAUUAGCCUGGCUGAUCACCUGAUAACUCCUGUCACCUGGUUAUGACAGCAUGAGGAUGUCCUCACACACCUGUAACCUAUCAGCUCAUCUGGCAGAAUAGAGAGAGAAGACACAGCACCACAUCUCCUGUUCCUGGAAAGCCUUCAGCCAUCCUUCGAUGACUGAGAACCUCCAUCAGCUCUGUCUCCUGUCUGCCCACAAUUAUUAUAAUAAAUGUUGUGUUUGACAAGUUUUUUUGUGCUGCCAAAUAUCUCAUAUAGAUUCCAGUUUUGAUAUUUUAAUGGAUAUUUAUAAAUUACAUUAAUUGAAUUAUCACAUUGUUGCACGUUUAACUAGCUCUGUUGUGAUGAAUUAAACUAGCACCUCACUGUUAAAAGCUCAUUUUAAACUCAAGCGUGUUUAAAUAUUUAUGGACAUGCACAAAAACAGGAAAUAUAUAAAUUGAGAUUUAUUUAAAUAAUAUAACAAAUGACUGUUUAGAGGGGGAAGGAAUCAUUCGAAGGCAUGUUCUUCUGGGAGCUCCUCAUCUUGACGACACCACCAGAGACCAGCUGCAGACACCAGAGGAUCACCUACGACCAAGAGAAAGCUGGUAUCAGUAAAUAAUGAAAUCAGGGCAAUUUUAUGUAUGUUUGCGAUUGUGUAACAUAAAUUAACACAUUACAGAAUAAUUUUCUCAUGGGGUAUUUUUAUAAGUUUCUCUGCAGCAGACAGUAACUUUAGCCCAGGGUAGGAGAGCUGCUAUCGACACGUUUCAGUGGUUUUUCCUGCUUUAACAUGUUAGAUUAACAGUUCCGCAGCUCAGGUAUUUGCUGCUAAUUAAAACCAGGUGUGUUGAAGCAGAUAAACCUCUAAAACAUGCUGGAUAACAGCUCUCUAAGGCUGUGGAGGCAAACCCUGCAGCUAAUCUAACGCUAUGGCUAAUGGCUACUUACCAUUCAGACGGGUUCUGUUGGGUCGGCUCCGGUGGUU